CCUGGCUCAGAUUGAACGCUGGCGGCAUGCCUUACACAUGCAAGUCGAACGGCAGCACGGGAGCAAUCCUGGUGGCGAGUGGCGAACGGGUGAGUAAUAUAUCGGAACGUGCCCAGUCGUGGGGGAUAACGUAGCGAAAGCUACGCUAAUACCGCAUACGAUCUAUGGAUGAAAGCGGGGGAUCGCAAGACCUCGCGCGAUUGGAGCGGCCGAUAUCAGAUUAGGUUGUUGGUGGGGUAAAAGCUCACCAAGCCUGCGAUCUGUAGCUGGUCUGAGAGGACGACCAGCCACACUGGAACUGAGACACGGUCCAGACUCCUACGGGAGGCAGCAGUGGGGAAUUUUGGACAAUGGGCGCAAGCCUGAUCCAGCAAUGCCGCGUGCAGGAUGAAGGCCUUCGGGUUGUAAACUGCUUUUGUACGGAACGAAACGGCCUUUCUAAUACAGAAGGCUAAUGACGGUACCGUAAGAAUAAGCACCGGCUAACUACGUG
rnacentral:rRNA from 1 species